rnacentral:lncRNA from 1 species
AUCACGAAAUAGACCAACCAAGCUACCAAAACUAACAUAUAUUACCGAUCUUGACGGAUGAGAAUCAAGCCAUGUUAUGCAGCCUCUGUCUUCUUUCCACAAGAGACCAUCGGAGGAAGUUCUUGCGGAGGGGCUUUUAGCAAAGGUGUCGAAGAGACCUUGUAGAGGACCAAGAGUGUAAAUCUUGGAAAAGAAGGAGCCAAGUUUAGAGAUCAUAGAGGCUUCGAGUCUAUCAAAGGUAUUAAGUAUGAGACCAGAUGCUCGUGGCAUAGCUGCAGUUUCCUUGAUGAAGAACUGCAAAAUCGGAUCAUUAGCUUCUUUGCGUCUGCAAAUGCUUGGGAGGUCUCGACACCGGAGAGUGCCUUCCAAUCCAGGAAUACAUGUAAUGGUCUUGUCCAUGUCUACAUCUCCUGGAAUAUUAUUACCAGCAUUCACAUGUUUUUUUUUUCUUAAAGAAUUCCAUGCAUGAGCUACGUAUAAAGUGGGAUUAACUUUUCUUUUCCUAGCAAGAGCAUAAACAGGGAAAAAAAAGUGAUUAUUGAUUUAUAUUUGAGAAAUUGAUAGUUUGAUAUUACUCUAAAUUAAUUAAUAUGGUUUUCUGUUCAUCUUCAAUUGAAUUAUUCACUCUACCUUAUCUAUAAAAGUGAUUUUCUUAUAGCUACCCUGUGAUUUCUUCACUCACUUUCAUGAACAUCUUGAAUCAUCAUCACAUGUAGAAGAAUUGUUUUUUUUUUUUUUUAAAAUUAUGUGAGGUUGACAAAUCAAUUAUUGAUCCCAGUGGAUUAUAGUUGAGAUUACUCAAAUCCGAACAAUAAUUAGGAGGAAUAAGCAAGUUUGACAUACCUUGGAAUGGAACUUCCCCUUCUUCAAUGAGUUUUGUGAGAUGUAAGUAAGUCCAAGUGCAACAAGCACUGAAUGUUCUAAAAGUGAUGAUUGGAAUUGUGAGCUCCUCGGCAAUAUCGAUAGCAAAAGACAUGAUCCCAUCAGCGAUAAUACACGUCGGAGGCUCCCACCGGCCAUUUUUUUGCCCAAUAUUAACCAACAAGUUGCGAAAUUCUGUCCUGGUCUCAUCUCUAUUAGAGAUUAAAAGUUGAGAGAUGCUUGAGCCGGAGCGAGGAUGGUCGGAUGGGAGACCAUCAGGGAUGGACCUAAAUUGAAACUUGGGGAAGCGACAGUAAAUGGUGGCUAUGUCUGUGGAAUGUUCAAGACGAUCCUGAAUGUGAUUGGAGUUGAUGAAGGUGGCUUCAAAACCAGCUUGGCUAAGAAGCUCUGCUAGCAUGAGCAUUGGUUUGACAUGACCUUGUGCAGGGAAGGGUAGGAAGACGACGUGAGGGACAACAGGCUGGUCCAUGGUGGAGCUUCGAUUUGGUGAGGACACAGUAUUGAAUUGCAAUGGAUAUCCAAGGUCUAAGAACCAUGAUCCAUGAAUCAGUUAUCUGUGCCCAAAUAAGAUUAUUUGACGGAGAUGACAAGGCUAUACAUUGUUGUGACUUGAGACCUGAGAAUGGAUAGAAAAAAUAGCUGAUGGGUGGCCUUUAUUUGAUUAUUCUAAAACCAUAACAAUGGGAGACUUGGAUGAAAUUAAAAUCUUUUUUUUUUUUGACAUGGAAAGAAAGACACUGUCCAUUCCAGAUGAUAUCAAGUUAUCAACAAAAAUGGGUGGCCAAAGACAAAAGAAAUGGGGAUUGGGGCGAGUGUAGAAUUAUUGAGAAAUGGACAAAUUGCUGAUGGAAAAGGUGAAAGAAAAACCAAGGAGGCCAGCAAUGAGUGGGGGACACAGAAUAAAUUAAAGGAAAAAGACAAAAGUAUGAUGAAUGAUGUUUUCUAAAAUAUUUUUUUAUUUAUAAAUUUAUUAAAAUAUUUUUAUAAAAUAGUACAUUAUAAUUAUUAAAAAAACAUUAAAAAAUACUUAUUUAUUGUAUUUUCAUAUCAAAUAUAUUUAUAUAAAAACAUUUAAAAAUAAUUUCAAACACAUUUACCAGCACUCUGGAAGCAAAUGUGGAGAAAACAAGUAAGUCAAGAGGCGAUUGACUUUGAACAAAAGAAAGCCAUUCUUUUGUGCAUAAAAAGGAGGGAACGGAGUGCAUUAAUAAGCCAGAUAUAAAAGAUAUAAAAGACAUCUCUAUCAUGUAACUGUUAGAAUGCUAAUAUCUGUUAUAACUGAAUAUCUGUUAUAACAGUUAUAACAGAUAUUCAGUUACAGCUGGCACUAGUAACUGCCAUUCAGUUAUACCAGUUGUCAAAAGCACUACGUAAUAUAUGUAUGUAUAUAUAUAUAUAUAUAGUGGCUUUCCUGUAACUGAAAUAAAAAGAAAAAGAGAGAAGCUGCAUUUGUCUUUUGCUUUCUCAGUUUUAUCUUGGUAUCAAAGCUCUCUCCAAAGAUCCAGAAAUGGCUUCUGCUCCCACCCAGUCUUCUUCAGUUGCUGGUUCUCUUGGUUCUACACAAACCACAACAAUGACGCCCAUACCUUCUUAUUAGAUGUUGAAUCACACGCUGCCUGUAAAACUUGAUUACACCAAUUACAUUCUUUGACGGUCUCAAGUUGACAAUGUGAUCUUUGCCAAUGGUUUUGAAGAUUUUAUAGAUGGAAUUUCUAUCUGUCCAGAGAAGGAACUAAGUCUAGGGGUGCUUAAUCCAACUUUUAUUGCAUGGAAAUAACAGAAUCACACAAUUCUUAGCUGGAUAUACUCCUCUCUCACCCCACCAAUCAUGACACAUAUCAUAAAUCACAAUUCUUCUCACUGUGCAUGGAAAGCAUUGGAGAAAACCUUCUCAUCAUCCUCAAGAGCCAGGAUAAUGCAAUUAAGACUGAAACUACAUUCGACUAAGAAAGGAUCUAUGACUAUGAUAGAUUACAUCAUAAAAAUUAAGGCAGCUGCAAAUAGUUUAGCUGCUAUUGGAGAACUUGUCUCUGAGUAGGAUCAAGUUAUGAACCUCCUUGGAGGUCUUGGAUUAGACUACAAUGCAGUUGUUACUACAAUUAACAAUAGAGAUGACAAAAUCUCUAUUAAAGCUGUUCACAGCAUGCUUCUAGCCUUUGAACAUUAUCUUGAGCAACAAAGCUCAAUUGAACAAAUUCCAACCAUGACUGCCAACUAUGCAUUCUCCUCUAGUAACAGAGGCGGUGGCAGAACAUACACUAGCAAUCAAGGCCAACAUUAUACUCCUAACAUCAGUAACUACAGAGGUCGUAGUAGAGGAGGAAGAUAUCGACAAUCUAGAAGGUAUAAUUCGAACAAUUCUGAGAAACCACAAUGCCAGUUAUGUGGCAAAUUUGGUCAUACAGCUCAGGCCUGCUACCAUAGAUUUGAUAUCUCCUAUCAAAGUCCUCAGAGUAGUGGGAACUCUUCUUUGAUACCUGGUAAUCAAAUUCCUAUUCCUGCUAUGGUAGCCUCUUCUAAUACUGUUGCAGACUUGCAGAUGACACUCGGUAUCUUGAUUCUGGCGCCAACCAUCAUCUAACUUAGAAUGGAGACAAUCUCACUAAUUCCUCACCUUACAAUAGGAAAGAUAAGAUCACAAUUGGGAAUGGUAAGCAUCUAUCCAUUUCCAACACUGGUUCUACAUGUCUGCUUUCUAAUUCUCAUACCUUUCAACUCAAGAAAGUGUUUCACGUUCCAUUUAUCUCUACAAAUUUAAUCAGUGUUGCUAAGUUCUGCCCAGACAAUAAUGCUUUAAUUGAGUUUCGGUCUAAUAGCUUCUUUGUGAAGGAUCUACAUACGAUGAAGGUGUUUGCUCAAGGCAGACUUGAGAAUGGUCUUUACAGAUUUUCAGUAUUGAAGAACAAGAAAUUAGCUUAUGUUGGUGUUCAUAAGCCUUAUGCUUUUCAUUCCUAUAAUUUUCGUCCAGUUGAUAAUAAGGUGGUGCUGUGACAUCACAUACUAGGUCAUGUUACUAUUGAGAUUGUAACCAAAGUCCUACAAAGUUGUAAUAUCUCUUGUGGAAAGAAUAAAGCUACUGUUUGUUCUUCCUGUCAACUUGCUAAAAGUCAUAGGUUACCUACUCAUCUCUCAUUUUCUCGAGCAUCCAAACCACUAGAACUUGUUCACACUGACAUCCGGGGACCUGCUUCUAUCAAGGCCACAUUUGGUGCCAAAUAUUUCAUCUUGUUUCUACAUGACUACUCCCGAUACACUUGGUUCUAUCCUUUACACACAAAGGAUCAAGCCAUGCCUACCUUCAAGCAGUUCAAACUGCAAGUUAAGAAUCAAUUUGAUAUUAGGAUCAAAUGCAUACAACCUGAUAAUGGUGGCGAGUUUAGUUGUUUUAUGACAUUUCUUCAGCAGUCUGACAUCCUCCAUCACUUUUCUUGUCCUUACAACUCAGCACAGAAUGGAAGAGUUGAGAGAAAGCAUAGGCACGUUGUUGAGACUGGGUUGGCAUUGUUAGCUCAUGCUUCUUUACCAAUGUCAUUUUGGCAAUAUGCUUUUCAGACAACUACGUUUCUCAUCAAUAAAAUGCCUAGCCAGGUACUCAAUCAUGCCUCACCAUGUUUCACUCUAUUUCACAAAGAACCUGAUUAUAUGUUUCUUAAAGUAUUUGGUUGUUUGUGUUAUCCAUUUAAUCGUCCUUACAAUAAUCACAAGUUACAAUAUUGAUCUGUCCAGUGCACUUUUCUUGGCUAUAGUUUCAAUCACAAAGGCUAUUUAUACCUUGAUUCUGCCACUGGACGAGUCUAUAUUACUCCUCAUGUUGUGUUUGAUGAACACAAAUUUCCUCUGGCUAAAUCUUCUCUUUCAACAAUUGACAUCUCAGAUGAGGUUUUCCCCCCAUAAAUCAUAAAUGCUUCAAUUCCUUCUCCUACCUGUUCUUCUGAUCACCCUACACCCCUAUCCUCUACUUUGUCAGACAUUAGUACUAGUUCCAAUUCUACAAGCAGUUCUGAACCCACUCCUGACUCUAGUAUCCUCCCUGAGUUGUUUCAUGCCACUCCUCUUUCGUCUUCUUCCCCAGUUCCACGCAUGACCACAAGACUAAUACGUGAUAUCACCAAGAAAAAACCCAUUUUUGAUCUCUCUGCCGUAAAAGUCUCAGAACCUUCUACUCUCAAACAAGCUCUUAUUGAUCCACACUGGACUCAAGCUAUGGAUCUGGAAAUGGCUGCAUUACAUCGCAAUCAAACUUGGAAUCUUGUUCAACAGCCUUUAGAUGUUAAUGUCAUUGGCUGUAAAUGGGUAUACAAGCUAAAACACAAGUCUGAUGGGAGCAUAAAAAGGUAUAAAGCCAAGCUUGUGGCUAAAUGAUAUAAUCAAACUCAUGUAUUUUGAAACUUUUAGCCCUGUUGUUAAAGUUGCCACUAUUUGAAUCAUCUUGACUAUUGCUCUCAAUUUUAAGUGGGAACUACAUCAACUUGAUGUGCACAAUGCAUUCCUCAACGGUGACCUUCAGAAAUAGGUCUACAUGACUCAACCUCUUGGAUACGUAGACACUACAUUUCCUGACAAAGUGUGUAGGUUGAACAAAGCCAUAUAUGGUCUGAAACAAGCCCCACGAGCAUGGUUUCAACGUCUGAGUUCUGCCCUUCUACAAUGGGGUUUCAAUAGUUCCAAAACUGAUAGUUCCAUGUUUAUUCACUUUGGAAAAUCCUCCACUCUCAUUGUUCUUAUCUAUGUAGAUGAUAUUAUCCUCACUGGAAGUUCAUCCAUGCAGAUCUCAUCCCUCAUUGCUAAGCUUAAUUCUGUCUUUGCAUUGAGAGAUUUAGGCAAGUUAUCCUAUUUUCUUGGGAUUGAGGUUGCUUAUCAUAACGGCUCUAUGACUCUCAGUCAUAGCAAAUAUGUUUCUAACCUACUUCAUCGCACUGCCAUGUUCAAUACCAAGCCUGCACACACACCUGGUGCUGUUGGGAAGAACUUAUCCAAGUUUGAUGGUGAUCCUCUAACAGAUGUUACUCAAUAUCGCAGUGUUGUAGGGGCUCUUUAGUAUCUUACCAUGACCAGACCUGACAUUGCCUUUGCUGUUAACAAGGCGUGUCAAUUCAUGCAACAACCCACUUCUGCCCACUGGCUUUCUGUCAAAUGAAUUCUUCGUUAUCUUAAGGGUACUUUGCAUGAUGGAUUAUUACUAAGUCCUUCCAGUCACUUGACAUUGGAAGGAUUCAAUGAUGCUGAUUGGGGAGUACAACCUAAUGAUAGACGCAAUACCAGUGGCUAUCUGAUUUAUUUAGGAGGCAACCUAGUCUCAUAGUCAUCAUCCAAACAAAAAGUGGUCUCACGUAACAGUGUAGAGUCCGAAUAUCGUGGUCUUGCUUUUGCUACAGCUGAAAUGAUUUGGAUGUAAGCCCUGUUGUAAGAACUCUGUGUCUCCAUUCCUGCCAUUCCUCUUCUUUGGUAUGAUAAUAUCAGUGCUUAUCAUAUGACAAAGAAUCUUGUGUUUCAUGCUAGAAUAAAACACAUCGAAAUUGAUCUUCAUUUCAUCCGUGAUCAAGUCACCCAAGGUAAGCUUCAGUUGCAGUUCAACCCUACUGCAGAGCAACUGGCUGAUCCGCUGACAAAGCAUCCAUAAGUUCAAAGUUCUUAUCUCUCAAAACUCAGCUUUGUUCAUUCCCAGACCUUUUCACUUGAGGGGGGAUUAUAAGCCAGAUAUAAAAGAUAUAAAAGGCAUCUCUAUCAUGUAACUAUUAGAAUGCUAAUAUCUGUUAUAACUGAAUAUCUGUUAUAACAGUUAUAACAGCUGGCACUAAUAACUGCCAUUGAGUUACAUCAGUUGUCAAAAGCACUACGUAAUAUAUGUAUAUAUAUAAUGGCUCUCCUGUAACUGAAAUAAGAAGAAAAAGAGAGAAGUUGCAUCCUUGUAUUUUGCUUUCUCAGUUUUAUCUUGCAUAAUUCCAAAUUAUAAAAAAAAAACAAAGAAAAAAGAAGCUAAGCAGAAGAGGGAACCAUUUUUUUAGUGGUCUUUUCUUGGCAAGAAUUAUUCUGAGACCAUUCUUCAAGAGCAAAGAGAAAAUGUGACUCUCUCCCAUGUUCAUUUGGUUCACCAUUGACCAACACAAACCACCUUCUCUUUUGGUGACAACCCCUUCACUGUUAAACACUUCAACUUCCCCUCUCCAUCGCCACUAACCAGGGCUGUCUCUCUCACGAUCUCCCUCUCCCUUCACUGCCAAAACAAACCAGUCAUCUCCUAUCUUCACCACUGGAACCAACCACCACAAGACAUCCCUCAAACAUCCACAAAACAGCCCCAUACCCAUGGCCAAACACACAACAACAACAGUAGCCUUUCCUCCUCAAAUUUGCCCAUAAAAGCAGCUUUUAAUCUCUUCAAAACCGACUCAUCUCCACCAUGACAAAACUCAGCCAAAAGCCACCCUUAAACCCGUGACAACAACCGUUCCUGGUUUCCCCUAGUUCAAGUUGACGGACGGCCAAACACAGCCACCAUAAGCUCCUCUAACGCAGUCAACCCCACGCCACUUUUCCAUUGUCCCAUACGCUCCACGGUUCAUAACAAGUAGUAGCAACCAACUAUAUAAAAAAAUAAAAAUAGGAGAAGAGAUUGAACUUCAACGGAGCAGAGCUUUCUUUUCUGGCAUUCAUUUGCUGCUCUACAAGUGGGGGAUAAAAAAGAAAAUAGAGUAGUUUUUAGACAUGGUAGGAGUUUCCUCCAAAAAUAGCAACAAUUACACCCAAGAAAAGAGAUAGACUAGACUGACAAAUUAAAAUAAAAAUUAAAACUUUAACAAAACAAAGCUUUCUUUAUAGAUGUCCAUUUGUUACACCAUCAAUAAAGAAAGAAAAAAAGACAUAGAAGAGUUUUAAAUUCAAUAAAUAUUAAUACAAACCCUAGUAAAAUAUAAAAUAUAAGUUUGAGUAUGAAAUUGAGUUUAUCAUAAUAAAAAAUUAGCUCCAAACCAACAAGAUUAUAAACCAUCUAAUCACAAUGUCUAAACCUAAAAAUGAGCAAAACAAAUAUAAAAUCAUUAGUAAAAAUUGAUCAAUUCUUUAAAGAGAUGAAGCUCAAUCAAUAACCAAGAGAGACAAUAUUUUAUUCUGUAAAAUUUGUUUUCUUCAAAUAUUCCCUAUAAAGAGUACUUAUACUAGAAACCUAAGUAACUUUACUUGUUCUAAUGGGUCAUACAUAAAUUCAAUUUAAAUAAUACCCAAACCAAGCUAAAACUAGCCCAAACUAAUUAAAAUACAUAAUAUAAACAAGUCUGAAAUUUAAACAAGUGUUUCCACAUAAAACAAAGAUAGAUCAAUAGCCCAACUAAUUAAUAUAAGACAAGGUUGGUUUUUUUCAUAACCUAUUGGCAACGUUAAAGCUCAAUUUAAAAUUAAUGGUUCUCUCUCGUUUUAAUGAAAUAGAAGGAAUGCCAUAUAUCAUUCGAAUGAUAUGGAAGUCUAGUUUCUAGCCCAAUUAGAAUCGCAUCAACAUUCGACCUGUAGCUCUAGUUAUGAUCAAAACAGUAGAGAAAGGUCAAACUGUCUGAUUUGAGUCUUCUUGUCUCAAUCCUUGUGUAAUGGCCUUGGUUCCACCAACAAGCCCUUCUUAAAUAUGAAUAAGAUUAAUUAAGGCUUGCUCGUCAUUAUUUAUUACCUUCUUAAAGUCCAUCUUAACCUAUGAAUCUCGAAGAAGCCCAUUGAAAACCAAAAAUAUCAUGUUGAAGGCGUCUUUCUUAAAUUUCAAACAUAUGUUGAGCAUCAUUUUGAAACCAAAAUCAAAACCAUUCAAAUUGAUUGGGGUGACGAAUAUAGACGUCUAAACAUCCAUUUUUUUAAAAAAAAUCAGGCAUUUUUCAUUAUAUUUCUUGUAUUCAUACACACAAACAAAUAAGUUUGGUUGAAUGACGUCAUCUUUAAAUUGUAGAAAUGGGUCUUACCUUGUUAGCUCACUUUUACCUCCUCAAGUCUUAUUGUUAGCUCAUUUACAUAGUUUAAUAUGCCUUAUAGCCAAUUGGUUUGUUACAUGUGACAUUAUUAUAUUCAUGUAAAUAUAUAUUUAUUAUUAAUAAAGACUUAAUUUAUAUUUAAUAUUCAUAUGAUAUCAGAUUAAUAAAUCUAAUAUUUGGUUUAUGAAUCUAGAGUAAAGAUAAAGUCCAUGAGACAAAAAUACUUUGCAAAAGAAAUUGUAAAGUGGUUAUAAUUAUGGAAAAACAUUAUUUUUAAAAUGUUUUUGGUCGAUGCCCUAUUAAAUACUAGACAUUUAUCAAAGUCGUAAAGACUAGUACAUAUUAUGUUCUUUUAUUUUUAAAAUGAAGCAAUUGUUCUUAUAAGUUGAGGUAUAAGGAAUAACUAGAACUAAUAUGUAGGUGUUUCAUCAUGUAUAUUGAACUGACCUGCAUAAGAAUUUUAUAUGGAGAGAUUACCCAUUUCUAUAAAGAAUGUUAUACUUUGAUCCAAUUACAUAUUAUCUUAAUCGAGGUAACCAAGAAGCAUACAUUUAAUAUAACAUGAACUAUAUAAAGAUACUUGAGUGAUCAAGAGAUGAUUUAUCACUCUAGGUGAAUUAGAGAAAAUAUUCAAUCUAUUCUCAAAUAAUAUUGACUGAGAAGUCAUUGGUCAAGGUGGAAUGAGAUUUGAAAAAAGUUAAGUCUUAUUCAAAUAAUCAAUGACUAUUAUGUAGAGAACAAAUAUAAUUUAAUAUGACAGACAUACUCCUUACUUUUAAAUCAAAGCAUUAUUGAUGAAAGGAUAUUACUUACACUGACAAAUUAAUCACUUAAAGAUUAAGUAAAACCACUAAUACUUUUUUAAUAUUUUUAAGGAUCAUAACACGUUACUAAACGAUACACCUGAUUUUCAAAAAUAAAUUAAUCAAUUUUGAAUUGAUAAUAAAUUAAAUUAUUUAAUUCUAUUUAAUUAGAAUUAGAAUUUAUAUUUGAGCCAAUAUUUUAGGAACUUAUGGGUUACACACAUUAAGAACCAUUAGUCAGAAAUAAAAUGAGAUGAUUUAAUUAAAUAUGACCUGAUUAAAGUAUAUUUUAGAAAUUAAAAAUUAGAAUAUAAUUAAUACAUGGAUUAUAUUUCUAGAUCUAGAAAAAUCAAGUAAGGACUUGAUUGAGUUAAUUUCUAAAUUUAUCCUGAAUUAAUAUAUGGAUAUUAUACAAGGAGAAAUUUGAUAUUUUUUUUUUAAUUUAUAGGUUUUUUAUAUUUUCCUAUAAAUAGUAAGUUAUGCUUCUUAUUUUUUAGUAGUUGUCUGUUAGAUAGAAAAACUAUGUAAGUCACAGAAUUAAGAGUUAGCACUCUAAGCAUGGCAAUCCAUUUCUUCUAAAUAGGGAUAUAGAAUAUUUCUUACUAGUGGUUCAUGUGUAUUACUGUUGGAGGUCUGACAAUUGUACGCUUAUGGUUUGCAACAACCUAGUCUUGAAAAAUUAUUAAAAGCUAAGAUGUUUAGGUAAUAAAUUCCUAAAUAACUUUACAUUCAUCUAAUAAAAUUCUAAAAACUAUUGAAUAAUUUUAUUUUAUUAUUUUUAUUUGUCUAUGAUAUUCAUGAACUUAUCACAUGCUUCAUUGCUGAACUACGUCAUUUGAUUUUGCACCAACUACUAGGGUACCGACUGACAAGAUUCUUGAAAUCACAACUACUCCAGCUCAACCUAUUUCUUCUUCUUUAGGUCUUCUUGAUCAUUCCCAUGUUUCUCAGGAACCCUCUAGCAACUCCUAGGCAUAUGAUAACUCGUAGACCAACAAUUUAAAACCAAAGCUUCCAUUUCGCUGGCAUGUCCUUUACCAUACUUACUUGUAAAAUGUCACUCAUCUUUUAUGAAGCCAACAUCUUUUACUGAAGCCUCUAGACAUACUUCUUAGCGUGAUGCAAUGAACAAUGAGUUCAAUGCUUUAAUAAAAAAAUGGCACGUGGGAUUUGUACUUUACAUUUUAGGUCGUGAACCUAUGUGAUUUUUAGCAUACGAGGUAUAACAAGUUUUUAGAACUUGUAUUUGCAAUUGAAUCGCUACAUGAUCAAAUUCCACUUUAAAAAUGUUUUUUUUUUUUACCAAAGUUGAGAUCAUAUCGCCCAUAAAAUAAAAUGCCUUGAGUUGAAGGGAACAAUUUAGGGAUGAAAGCAUGAAUGCCAAGAUUGGUAUAUGACAAACUUAAAAGAGGUGGGGAACUGAAUAAGGAAAGCAAAAUAGGCAAAAGAUUCCUCAUAAUUAAUCGUAGGUGAAAAUGAAGGCUUAUUUCAAUUCAACACUUUUAUUGGAUAAUUAGCCUCGGGAUUUUUCUUAAUUUAUAUUUUUCUUGCUUUAAUGUUACAAUUAUGCGCUUCAUCUAAAAUUUUAUUUUGUUUAUAAUUAGAUUCAUGAGCAUGAGUUUGAUGGAAAAGAGAGAGAGUCGUUAGGAAACAAAAAAGAAAAAAAAUGUCAAUGGAUGUCCAUGUUUCGAUGAUAAAAAAACAUGUUCUUAGUGUCGAUGAUUUUCAUUCAACACAAGGAGUUUCAUUGAGAUAUUUUUUAUAUUUUUUUUUCUUUUAGGAUAAAGUAGAUUGUGGUUGAGAAAGAAAAAGAAUUCCAACUUUAUUUUUGUAUUUUUAGAUCAUUUUAAGGGUGUUUUGAGUUGAUAAAUUGAUUUAUUAAGCUUCCAAAGGGUUUUGUUUUUAUUAUUUCAGCUAAAAAUAGGUUGAAAAUAAAUUUUUGAAGUAUAAAAUGCUUGGACUUUCGAGCGACUCUUUGAACAUUGAAAUCUGGAGUAGUCUACUACUAUAGACAAUGUAUCGUCCACCUUUAAGGAAAAAAAAAGAGGUUAUAACCUCUUUUUUUACAAUAUUACCAAACACUCUUCUUUUUACAUCUCUUUAUGAUGGUUUUUUUCUUAAAUUUUAUUAAGUGUUUUUCUUGUAACUGUCAAUUUUUAUUUUUGUAUAGUUAAAUAAAAAAAUUUCAAAAUAAUAAGUUAUUAAACUCAUAUGGGCCCAUCACCUGAGUUACGAGUUUGGUAAGUUAACCUGAAUCGAAUGGAGUCAAUCCAAAAUAUUAUUGUCUCAUUAUAUAAAAACAAAGGUUUAAAAUAAUGUCUUGAAUUAUUAUUAUUUUAAAUCUAACCAAGUUUAACCAUGCCACAUCAGGUUAACUCUCACCUGAUUCAAUUUGAAAUCUGAGCUAAACAAGACCCCUGGUUAGGGGGUGUCCAAGUUAGUUUGCCAAGCCAAACUAGGUUUGGUGAUACUACCAAAAUGUUACCCAUGACAAUGCACAUGCGGUGUAUUGUUUUUAUAUUUGUUUCUUAAUGCAUCAACAUAAAGAUUUGUAGGAUUUAUCAUAAAAACAAAUAUUCUAGCAAGAUAAGGCCAACUAAAAAAAAAUAGAGCGCGUUAACGAGAUAAAAGAGUUUUAGUUUGAGGGUUGCCUUACUUAGCCUUAUUUCAAAUCAUAUUGUUUUUGUAUUUGUUAUAAUGAUUUUAUUUUUUUGUUAAAUGAAGGCCAUAAAAUGAAAGAGUUAUAUUCCUGCAUAGAAAAAAAUACCAAAAUAGGAGGAAAUAUAUUAUCAAAUAAUUUUGUUUCAAUGGAAUUUUAAUUAGUAAUCUUCUUAAAAAAUAAUAGUUGACAUAUAAUUAUAAGAUAUUUUUAAAGGUCUCCUCAUGGCAUAAGAUCAAGUAUUUUAAUCGUCAUUUAUCUCUUAGCUUCUCAACUUGAUCUUUAAUAAUCAUUAACAACUUUUUUUUUUUAAUGGUUACUAUUGUCUUUCAUCCAUAAUAUGUUUGAUUAAACGGGUAGUUAAGUUUUUUUUUACACAAUAAAAAACAUUUUUGUUGCUACAAAAUAUGUUGGCAAUAGUUACACUCUUUUUAUGUUUUUGAACAAGCUUAUGACGGAACAUGGGCCAAUGAACUAGUUAGAUACUAAUAAUAGUGAAAUGGUAUUGUAAAAACCCGGUUUAAAUAUUAUGAUAUUAGUGAAAUGCUAGAAAUUUAACAUGACGAUCAAAAUAAAUGAAUAAUAACAUGUAAAUAUUAAAUGAUUAGAGAUGAAGAUUUAUGAGAUUAAAUUUUAAAGUAUGGUAAUCUUUAAAAAUAAAUCAACAAAGGGUACUUGAUAAAUGAAAAACAUUAGUAGAACUAAAGAACAAGUGCAAGAUUCUAAAUAUAAGUACAAAGAAAAUAUAAAUAGAAACUUGCCUUCUUAAAGAAGCCAAGUUGGUCGACCAUGAGCAGAAGAAAAGAAGAGAAAAAAUGAAGCAAAUUCAAGGGAAAUUCUUGCUAAAGAACACCAAAUAGAGAUAAAUUAAAGGAUGAAAGAGAGAUUAGAAAGGGAUUUAAGCAAGGAAAUUGAAGAAUAUCAAGGGUUGUUUGGUUAGAGGGAGGCAAAAUUUCUUUUUCAUAUCACCAAAGAGAGAUAAAUUAAAGAAUUAAAGAGAGAUUAGGAAGGGAUUUAAGCAAGGAAAUUGAAGAAUAUCAAGGGUUUUUUUGGUAAGAGGGAGGCAGACUUUGAAGAAAAAGAAAAGGAGGGAAAUAAGUGAGUAGAAAACUUCUCUUUCUUGUUCUUAUUUCCUCAUUUUAGUGUAUUUAAGAAGUAGGGAACCUUGAUUAGAUAUAAUCUUGAGUUAUUAAUGGAAAAUUUAUGUGUUUUGCAUAUGAAAAUGUUAUGAAAAAUAGGUUUGAAUGAAAGAAUGCUUUAAAUGAAGGAAUAGAAAAUGAAAGAAUAUAUGGUUAUAAUGAAUGGAUAACAAUAAAUGUAAUUUUAAGGUCACUUGAAAAUAAUUAUGAUGCAACUUAAAAGGUGAAAGGAUUAAAGUAUUCAAUAAGAAUAUGAAAAAUUACAUAAUUUCCUAGAUAUAAAAUGAAAAUCAAGUGGAAAUUGAAAAUGAGACCAUUGUAUUAAGGAUCUUGAAUUUGAAAUAUUUUUUUUGAUGAUAUAGAAAAAGCUGUAGAAGUUACACAACUAUUGAGGAUGGUCAAACUACAAUAGACUUCAAAUAGGUGCUCAACAUCUUAAUAUAUAUUAAUUCCUAUUUUAAAAGUCAAUAAUGAUUGUUAUUUUCUUGAUAUCAAUGCUUUUAUGGAGUUUAGAAUGAUCGACAAUUGAUAAGAUGAAAAACAUAAUAAUUGACAUUUGAGUAAGAUGCCAAAUUAACUUGUAUUCAAUUGAGAUUACUGGAAUUAUUGGCUCUCAAAUAAGAAUGCUAGAAUAAUUGGCAUUUGAGUAAGAUUUCGGAUUGAUUGGUAUCUAUUUGGGAUUACUGGAAUUAUUUACUUCCAAAUAGAAAUGUUGGAAUAAUAGGCAUUUGAGUACGAUGUCGUAUUGAUUAGUUUCUAUCUGGGAUACCUAGAAAUUAUUGGCUUCUAAAUGGGAAUGCUGAAAUAACUUAUAUAUAUGAAGAUUGUUGUGUUUAUGGAUAACCAAGCGAAGGUUACAAGAUCAUUUAGUACUUGAAAUAAGUAACUGGACAAAUCGACUAUGAAAUAAAAUAGUCAAUUUAUUAAACCAUUCAAGUAGGAUGGAUCGAUAGAGAAGGAGAAACUAUUGCAAGAAUUUAAUUUGUUGUUGGAUUAAUUAAGAUGAAAAGGAAUGUAGUAGAAAUGGAAAUGAAUUCUUCAAAAAAUUUAAUUAAGAUUAUUGAGCUUAAAGUUGUGGCUUACAUGGCUACUAAAAUAUAGAGAUAGUUGAAGAGAAAAGACAACACACAUCAAUGAGGUAGUUUAAGUUCUUUUUCAGCUUAAAGGUUGAAUUAUAGGAGAAAGAAGGAUGCCACAUCAAAUCUGAAUAUUAUGGGAAAUAAAGUUGAAUCACUUAAGGCUUGGAGAAAAGAUUUAGCAAGGUAAAGUCAAGAUCUCAUCUAAUUAUAAUUGUGAUUUUAAGAGUUUUAGGUGUUUGAGUAGUAAACUAUAUAUAUAGCUUUACAAUAUCCAAAUAAAAGGAUUAUUAUGGUUAUGAAAGAGCAUGAGACUAUUGAAUUCAAAAGAAAAAAUCCAAAGUGGUUGGGAUGCUACCACUUGAGGACUGUAGUGAUAUUGAAUAUCCAGUUGAUAGAAAAACUUUAGUGAUUAGAUGAACACUUAAAGAGCAUGAUGUAGAGCAAUAAAAGAAGAACAUAUUUCAUAUUAGAUGCCACAUAAAUAAUAAGGUAUAUAGUAUGAUUAUUGAUAGUAGAAAUUGUGCUAAUGUUGCUAGCAGUACAUUUGUUAGAAAAUUAAAUUUGAACAUUAUUAAGCAUGAAAAACCUUAUAGAUUUCAAUGGUUGAAUGAUUGUGAAGAAGUAAGAGUUACUAUGCAGUUUUUUGGUUUUUUUUUUUGUUGUAAAAAUACAAGAAUGAGGUUUUGUUGAUGUUGUGUCUAGGCAUGCUACUCAUUUAUUGUUACGAAAACCUUGGUAAUUUAAUAGAAAAACCAAGCAUUAUGGGUUUAAAAACAUAUAUAUUUUUUAGAAUGAUGAGAAGACAUUCACACUUGUACCAUUGUACCCUAAACAAAUGUAUGAAAAUCAAAUGAAAUUGAAAGGAGAAAGCAAAGCUGAAGAAAAAGAUCAAUCAUUUGAGGAUGUGAGGAAAAAUAAAGAUAAAGUGAUUUAAGAGAAAAUAAGGUUAGAUUCAUCCAAAAUAGGAAUUAGUAAGGAUUCGGUUGAUAGAGGAGAGAAGAAAGGAAGGGUGAGAAAAAAAAACAGAGUGUGGAAAAAAUAAAAACAUGUUUUAUUUUUAUGCAAAAGAGAUUAAGAUUAAGAUUGUUAUUAUAUGAUGGGUUUAAUAAAAGAAGGUAUAUUUUAACACAAUAACCUUGAUCAUUGUAUUCCUAAUGUUUGUGUUUCUUUAUUAUAGGAUUUUAAGGACAUCUUUUCUAGUGAGAUUCUUAGUAAGUUGCCAUCUUUUACGGGUAUUUAAGCACCAAAUUGGUCUUAUAUCUAGAGCAUGUAUACCUAAGAGACAAAAACAUAAUCCUGAUGAGACAAUAAAAACUUCAAAGGCAAGUGGAAAAGUCGAUGAUAAAAGAGUACAUAAGAGAAAGCAUGAGUCCAUAUGCAAUUUCAAUAUUGUUAGUGUCGAAAAAGGGUGAGACUUUGAGAAUAUGUGUUGAUUGUUAUGUUAUCAAUAAAAUUACAAUAAAGUAUAGACAUCUAAUUCGUAGACUUGAUGACAUGUUAGAUAAAUUACAUGUGUUUUAUAUAUUUUUUAAAAUUAAUUUGAAAAGUGGAUAUCAAAAAAAAUGAAAGAGAAAGAUGAAUGGAAAACUUCCUUUAAAACUAAAUAUGAUUCAUAUAAAUUAUUAGUUAUGCCUUUUGAACUUACCAAUACACCUAGUUUUAUGAGAUUAAAAAACCAUAUUUUGUGAAAUUUUAUAGGUAAGUGUGUUGUAACUUAUUUUGAUGAUAUUUUAAUUUAUAGUAGGAAUUUAAAGGAGUAUGCUGAGAUUUAAGGAAUGUAUUGGUUAUUUUGUGAAAAGAAUAUUUAUAUAUUAAGUUGAAAAAAAUAUGAGUUUUGUAUGGAAAAGAUUGUAUUUCUUAGAUUUUUUUUUUAAAAUUGUGUGUAUCUAAUUGUUAUAUGCGUGAAUUGUCAAUUCAUGAAGCUCAUUGGCGGAUUAAUAGGAAAAUUUGGAGUUUUUAAAAAUUUAAAUUUUUUACAUGAGCACUUUUAUUGGCUUAAGAUGAAAAGAUAUGUACACAGAAUUUGUGAUAGCUAUAUAAGAUGUAGACAAGCUAAGUCUAAAUUUUACCUUAUGGUUUAUUUACUUAUUUAUCAGUGCCUAAAGAACCUUACGUUGAUAUAUCUAUGGAUUUUAUGCUAGGUUUCCCUAGAAAAAAAGGGGUAAAGGUUCUAUUUUUGGAGUUGAUAUGUUUUUUAAGAUGUCAUAUUUCAUAUCUUGUCAUAAAACUGAUGAUAUAAUAAACAUAGCAGAUUUAUUCUUUAAAGAGAUAGUUUGGCCCAUGGGGUACCUAUAAGCAUUGUGUCUGACCGUGAUGUUAAAUUUCUUAGCAAAUUUUAAAAGGUUUUGUAUCGGAAAUUAGAGAAAAAUUAUUAUUUUUUAUUACUUAUCAUCCACAAACAUAGUUAAACUAAAGUAGUUACUAUGACUUUAACUAUAUUGUUAAGAACUAUCUUUCAAAUAAUUUAAAAAAUUAGGAAGAUUAUCUAUCAAUUGUUGAAUGUGUUUAUAAUAGGAGUGUGCAUUCUGCUGCUCAUUAUUUACAUUUUGAAAUUAUUUAUUGCUUUAAUCAUUUGACUUAUUUGAAUUUGUUUCCCUUAUCUAUUGAUGAAAUGGGUAUUCUUGAUGGAAAUAGAAAGGCACAGGCAGUAAAGGAUCUCCAUGAGAAUAUAAGGUGGCAAAUAUAUAUAAAAAAAACAAAUGAGCAAUUUGCAUUUAAAACUAAUAAAGAGCGAAAAUGAUUAUAUUUCAACCAGGUGAUUAGGUUUUGGUGCAUGUGUAAAAAAAGAAGUUGAUGUCGAAAAGAGAUUGACCAUUCCAAAUCAUUGAAGGAAUUAAUAAUAAUACUUAAAAAGUAGAUCUACUAGGUGAGUAUGGUGUUAGUGUUACUUUUAAUGUAUUUUUUCAUCUCUCUUUGUUUGAUGUAGGUGAUGAUUCGUGGAUGAAUUUUUUUUUUAAGAGAGAGGGGAUGAUGCAUCUCAAACUACACUAUAAGAUCCAUUAGAAGUUACAUUUGGGUCAAUUACAAGAUCAAGAUCAAAGAUGCAUUUAAUGAGCUUAUUUAGAGUAUUUGGACUAAGGUGAAUUUCAAGGACCCUAUAACUUCAACAAGUGAUGAUCAAAAUUUAUUCAUUUUAAUUUAUGUGCAAGAGGGCCCUAAACCAUCUACAACAUGGGCCUAAUAAUUUUGCAAUGGUGGGCUAGUAAAUUUCGGUUUUAGAAGUGAUUUUGAGCAUAGUUUUUUAUAAUACACAGUUUUACUCUAACAAACAUACUUUUCGAUCUGAACAUUAGAUUGGGUUGAAAUUUUAUUACAAGUUUUCAGAAAUCUUUUUUUAUAUUGGUUUAAAAUAUCAAGGCAAUCAAACAUCAAGAAAGCCUGCAAUAAGGUUUAUAAGCUAUUACACAAGAAUUGUAUUGUUUCCUAAUUGAUAUGAGAUUCUUUUUCCUAUUAUAUUUAUAAAUUUUUAUUAUUUUUUCCAAUAUUAUUUAGAAUUUUUUUACAUAUUAUAAAUAUGGUUAUUUAUCUUGCAUUUAGGCUUUUUGUUUUCAAACUUUGAUUUCAAUAAUUAUUAUUGUGUGUGAGGUUUUGCUCAUACUUUUUAAUUCUUCAUUGAACUACUUAUCAAAGAAUUAACUAAGCUUCAUGUCUUCUUUUAUACUUGUUGUUCACAUCUCUUUACAGAUAUUUAUGGGGGUUUCAUUAGUUAUAGUCUUGGUGCAUCAAUACAAGUUAUUGUUGUAUCAAGAUCAAUUCUAAACUUGAUCUUAGCUUUCUUGGAAAUAGUUGAUUUGGAUGUGGAUUUCAAGAUCUUUAUAUCCAUGAGUUUCACAUCACAUUCAAUUCUUGGUUUGUUUUUGAAUAAAGUGUAUGGUAUUCUUUUUAUGACAUUAGCGGACACUUUUUUUUACAACCUCUUGCAAUUAUAUUUUUUCUUAAAUUUUAUUUAGUGACUUUCUCUUACAUGCCAUUUCAUUUUUGUACAACUAAAUAAAAAAAAAUCUAAAAAAGUUAUUAAAUCCAACCGAAUCCAUGGCUUGAGUUGCAGGUUUGGUAGAUUAACUCGAGUCGCAAGUAUAAGGGUUAAGAUGAGUUAACCCAAGUCAAUCCAAAAUAUUAUCAUCUCAUUAUAUAAAAAAGAAAGGGUUCAAACGACAUCGUCUUAGAAAUUUUUUUGAAAUCAAAUCCAGUUUUGAUCUAGUUGUAUUUAGACUUAUCAUGUUAUAUAUCAAGUCAACUUUCAUAUUAUUCAAUUUGAAAUCUAAGCUAGGUAAAAGGAAAAUCUCUAUUUAUAUUUGUUCUAUUUACUUUUAAUUUUAGAAAAAAGGAUAAAUUAAUAAAAAAAUAAUAAUAAAUUAUUUAUUUCAUGAAAUUUAAAUUAUUCUUAUAAGAAAAUUAUGUUCAUAUAAUUAAUAAUCAUAAAAAAUCAUUUUUAUUAUUUCGGUAAUUAAUAUUUUUAUAUUAAAGAUCUAGGAGGAUUAUAAAUACAAGUGUAAAAAUUGUCUCCUUGUAAUUAUGAGAAGUUUUCACACUUUCCGAGAAAAUACAUGAAAAACUCACCAAUUUCUUUAUUAACAAGCAUCUAAGGACGCAAGCUCUUCAACAAACAUACCAAUUUAAAAGUUAUCCAACACUUGAUUAAGAGACCUUCCCGGCUAAGCUCAUCGAUUUUAUAUCUUCAAUUAGCUUCUGCAAGUUGGAGUAAGAAGAUCCACCUUCCUUCACGCUAUCACGAGCCAUCCCUGCAAAUUCAUCUGUCGAUUUGACAAUCUCGUCACUUUCCAUCAAAUCCCUCACCAAUUUCUCAAUCAGGGCCCUCUCACACUUGUCUUUCAUAUCGAAACCAAUCUUCCAUAACUCGCUAACACACCUACUGUUCACUUGUUGUUCAGCAAUCAUGGGCCAGCAAAUCAUUGGAACUCCUGCAAAAAUACUCUCCAAUGUGGAGUUCCAUCCACUGUGAGUCAAGAACCCUCCAAUGGCUGGAUGGGCUAGGACCUCUUCUUGUGGAGCCCAGUCCACUAUGCAUCCCCUUUCCUCCGUUGCAGCUUUAAGUUCCAAAGGAACCUCACUAACACCAUCUUCUCCCAUGAUAAGUUCCAAAGGAACCUUACUAACACCAUCUUCUCCCAUGAUUGAGUCAGAUCUUAUGACCCAGAGGAAUGGUUUCCCACUAUUCACUAAACCAUGCCAAAACUCCAAUAGUUGAUCACGAAAUAGACCAACCAAGCUACCAAAACUAACAUAUAUUACCGAUCUUGACGGAUGAGAAUCAAGCCACGUUAUGCAGCCUUUGUCUUCUUUCCACAAGAGACCAUUGGAGGAAGUUCUUGCGGAGGGGCUUUUAGCAAAGGUAUCGAAGAGACCUUGUAGAGGACCAAGAGUGUAAAUCUUGGAAAAGAAGGAGCCAAGUUUAGAGACCAUAGAGGCUUCGAGACUAUCAAAGGUAUUAAGUAUGAGACCAGAUGCUCGUGGCAUAGCUGCAGUUUC